rnacentral:miRNA from 1 species
AUGUGUAUAUAUGUGUGUGUGUGUGUGUGUGUGUGUGUGUGUGUGUGUAUGUAUAUAUACACACACAUAUAUAUCUUCAUAGAUAUAUAAAUACAUGC